rnacentral:rRNA from 1 species
AAUGAACGUUGGCGGCGUGGAUUAGGCAUGCAAGUCGUGCGGCAGCAGGCACCGCAAGGGGUGCUGGCGAGCGGCGAAAGGGUCAGUAACACGUGGAUAACCUACCCCCGGGACCGGAAUAGCGGCGGGAAACUGCCGGUAAUGCCGGAUAAUGUACCUGGACCAAAGGUGUGAUUCCGUCUGAGGAGGGGUCCGCGUCCUAUUAGCUAGUUGGUGAGGUAACGGCCCACCAAGGCAAAGAUGGGUAGGGGGUGUGAGAGCAUGACCCCCGACACUGGGACUGAGACACUGCCCAGACACCUACGGGUGGCUGCAGUCGAGAGUCUUCGGCAAUGGGCGCAAGCCUGACCGAGCGACGCCGCGUGCGGGAUGAAGGCCUUCGGGUUGUAAACCGCUGUCAGAGGGGCGGAAAUAUGUUGGAGUUCUCUCCAGCAUUUGACUUAACCUCAGAGGAAGCAUGGGCUAAGUUCGUGCCAGCAGCCGCGGUAAUAC